GCCAAGGUAGCUCAGCUGGCAGAGCGUUGGGUUCAACUAGCCUGAGGUUGUAGGAUCAAAUUCCAUCUGUGGCA
rnacentral:tRNA from 1 species